UACGGGGGGGCAAGCGUUGUUCGGAAUUACUGGGCGUAAAGGGCGCGUAGGCGGCCUGCUAAGUCGAACGUGAAAUCCCUGGGCUCAACCCAGGAACUGCGUCCGAUACUGGUUGGCUUGAAUCCGGGAGAGGGAUGUGGAAUUCCAGGUGUAGCGGUGAAAUGCGUAGAUAUCUGGAGGAACACCGGUGGCGAAGGCGACAUCCUGGACCGGUAUUGACGCUGAGGCGCGAAAGCCAGGGGAGCAAACGGG
rnacentral:rRNA from 1 species